UACGAAGGAUCCUAGCGUUGUCCGGAUUUACUGGGUUUAAAGGGAGCGUAGGUGGACUUUUAAGUCAGUGGUGAAAGCUUGCAGCUUAACUGUAAAAUUGCCAUUGAAACUGAAAGUCUCGAGUGCGGUUGAGGUCACUGGAAUGUAUCAUGUAGCGGUGAAAUGCGUAGAGAUCGGAAAGAACACCAACGGCGAAAGCACUCUGCUGGGCCGACACUGACACUGAGAGACGAAAGCUAGGGGAGCGAAUGGG
rnacentral:rRNA from 1 species